ACGUAGGGUGCGAGCGUUGUCCGGAAUUAUUGGGCGUAAAGGGCUCGUAGGCGGUUUGUCGCGUCGGGAGUGAAAACACCGGGCUUAACUCGGUGCUUGCUUUCGAUACGGGCAGACUAGAGGCAUGCAGGGGAGAACGGAAUUCCUGGUGUAGCGGUGAAAUGCGCAGAUAUCAGGAGGAACACCGGUGGCGAAGGCGGUUCUCUGGGCAUGUCCUGACGCUGAGGCACGAAGGUCAGGGGAGCAAACGGG
rnacentral:rRNA from 1 species